AUAGCAUAAAUAAAAGAAUUUAUUUUGAUUUUUUAAAUUAGCAUAUUUGUUAAAAAAAGGGUAAAUUUUUAACCUACUUUUGUCUUUUUGGUUUCAGACAUUCAUUUUUAUAUCAAAACUAGGUUCAGAAAAUAGAAAAUUUGUUUUAUAUCAAAACGCAGCGUUUUGGUGAUUGGGGGUAAAAAAACGAAAACGCUGCGUUUUGGAACAUCUCUUCCCCUAAAAACCCCAGAAAUCUGAUCAGCUAAACCCUAGUUCAUUUACAGAAAGCCAGUAACAGAGCAAAACUUCAUUUGUUUUUCAAAAAAGAAAGAAUUUUCUUUUUUUUUUAAUUCAAAUUCCAUAAAAAUGAAAAUAAUGCUUUCUUCUAGAUUCCUAAACAGCAUUUCCAAUAGAAACCUCACCUCUCCGUGCUUCUCCUCGGGAUACAGUUACCCCGACCGUCACUUACUUUUAUCACAGAACCGUUCGAUCUUCACCACCUCACCUGUCCACGCCUCAUGGAUGGACUCGAUCAAAGGGGUCUUCACCGGCAAGAAGGCCUUUCCAGAUGAUCAGAAAACCAGUGCAGAAUCAUUCACUCUCCUACGAUUUGCUGAUGAAUUGAAGAAUGCUAGAAAAUUAGGGAAAUUUAAGCAAUACAUAGUUGGUAGAAGCAGCAAUGCGACCUUUUCGGAUGUUUUCGAGAAACAAGAAGCCAUCAUUAGGUAUCUUGGAGGUUGUGAUCCGACCGGUGAGAAUCUUCAACCGAGUCAAAAGAAAGAAGCUGCAAAGCAGUGUGAUUGUACGUUGUUGGAUGUUGAGAAUGCACUUGCGAAGUUCACUUGGGCUAAAGAAGCGCAUAAGAAGAUGGUUAAGUUGAAGGAGGAAGGGAAACCGAUGCCAAAGAGCUUUGCUGAGGUGCAAAAGCUGAUGGGUUCAACACCAUUGGAUCUUGCCAGGUCUAACAUGGCAAAGAGUGGGCAAAUAAGCAGAAAUGCGCUUUGUCCAUGUGGUUCCAAGAAGAGAUACAAAAGGUGCUGUGGCAAGGACCAAUAGAUUCGAAGAAAAAACGGAUGAGAACCUUACACCGGCCUUGGCUUACAGAAGUCCUCAAACUGGUAGAAAGAAUCCAAAUGCAAUUGCAGAUGAAACUUUAUAACAGAUGAGAAAAUGGUGGCUAUGGCAGAAGCAAAGGAAUGUCACAAAGCUUGAAAUUGCAAUGGAAAUGAUCUUUGUCAAGAAGAUUGCAUGAUUCUUGUUAUGGGUAUUCUUAGAUCCAAAAGUCAUAUUGGUCAUUCGCCUUAUUAAAUAUUGUUAACAGAUAAUUACGAAUAUUUUUUAUUUUUGAGCUAAUUUAAUUACAUCACCUUCUUAUCUCAUAGAUUUUUUAUUUUUUAUUGGACAUUUAGAUAUUAUCAUUCCAUUCUCAUUCUAUUCCACUUUUUUUUUUUUUAUUUCUUAUAUUUCAAC